rnacentral:rRNA from 1 species
CCUACGGGAGGCUGCAGUGGGGAAUAUUGGGCAAUGGGCGCAAGCCUGACCCAGCAAUGCCGCGUGAAGGAAGAAGGCUUUCGGGUUGUAAACUUCUUUGACAGGGGAAGAGCAGAAGACGGUACCCUGAAAACAAGCCACGGCUAACUACGUGCCAGCAGCCGCGGUAAUACGUAGGUGGCAAGCGUGUUCCGAAUUUACUGGGUGUAAAGGGCGUGUAGCCGGGAAGGCAAGUCAGAGGUGAAAUCUGGAGGCUCAACCUCCAAAUUGCUUUUGAAACUGUUUUUCUUGAGUACUGGAGAGGCAGACGGAAUUCCGUGUGUAGCGGUGAAAUGCGUAGAGAUUAGGAGGAACACCAGUGGCGAAGGCGGUCUGCUGGACAGAAACUGACGGUGAGGCGCGAAAGCGUGGGGAGCAAACAGGAUUAGAUACCCCAGUAGUC